rnacentral:rRNA from 1 species
UACGAAGGGGGCGAGCGUUGUUCGGAUUUACUGGGCGUAAAGGGCGCGCAGGCGGUCUUGCAAGUCAGGCGUGAAAGCCCCGGGCUUAACCUGGGAAUUGCGGUUGAUACUCUGAGACUGGAGUACGGGAGAGGAGAGUGGAAUUCCCAGUGUAGAGGUGAAAUUCGUAGAUAUUGGGAAGAACACCAGUGGCGAAGGCGGCUCUCUGGACCGUAACUGACGCUGAGGCGCGAAAGCGUGGGGAGCAAACAGG